ACGGUCACAGACACUUGCCUCAGCAGCUUCAACUCCACAGGCAUCAGAUUGAUCUCUGUGAUCCAUUUGUCAGCAAGGCAGUAAGAUGAAACAUUACACAGCGUCUGAUCACCGACAUACCAAGAAAUGUGGACAAAAUGAAUAAGAGCACAGAAUCUGCAGCUUUCGUUCAUCUACCUCUCAUUUCUUAGAAUAUGAGUCCACUCUAUCAUUUGACUAUUAGUCAGUGUAGUUGCUUACCACAUCAUGGACAUGAAGAUGUUGGGUAGCAGGAGCCACCAGUACCAGUCCCCCGCGUUGGAGAACACAGCCAUCAAAAGACCCACCAGGAUGCCAUUGUAACCAUACAGCCCAGCAGCUAUUGCACUCCUGAGGUAAAGUGAUUAGAAAAGUGAAAAUAAAAGUGAAAAUACUUCCUGUUGUGCAACGCAAGGUAAAAUCAUCCAGAUAUCAGCAAGUAUGUCCCGCUUUCUCUAUACACUAAUUCCAGUUUAAUUAAAUAUUUUUGUUUAGCAUCAUUGAGCGUUCAAACCUGUUCUGCUGCAGAAUGAGGGCAGAAAUGGUGGCAAAGAGCGUGCCCACAAAGCCAUUGAGAGCCCACCAGUAGUUCUGCAGGAUGAGGCCGGCGAAAAUGAUGAGGCCACUCAGAGGGUUGUUGACGAACAUCACCUGAGCAGCUCCACGCAAAACCCAGUCCAGCAACUGCAGCAAGAAGAACUGCUCUGGAGGAUUGAAAGAGAGAACGGACAGAAUGCUUUGACGUGUUUUCCAGUGAUGCUUAACAGGCUUGUCAUCUUCUCAGGCUCUCAAGUGGCCUUUAAGCCACAAGUUCCUGUCAUGAGGUUAUCAGCGGCACAUAGAUAUCAUACACAUACAGCACAUUCAUCUCUUUCUUGUUAUUGAACGUAGUUGUUCUAAUCUUCGCACAGUUAAUGCAAAAGCGACAUUAAGUGGGCCACUCUCAAAUCUGUGAAUGAGAUCAGGAUACAGUGAAUCUACUGAACUAUCUUGCGAUCAUGAUCAAGAUAUAACUUGUGUUGACUUACUUUCCAUCCAUUUUCCAAAUGGCUGCAUGUCUCCAGAGAAGUAGGAGAUUCCCUUGAGGAAACAGGCUCUGGUCCUCUGCAGGGCUGUGGGUCUCGGCUCCAUCAGGCCCUUCUCCUUCCUGUCCUCCUGGGAGCUAUCAUGCUCAGACGGCGGGGCAGGGUGUGCCAUAAGGGGCUGGAGCUCCUUCACCGUUAGGUGCGGGUGGUGGCAGGACAGGUAGUGCUCAGUGCAGCAGAGGUGGAACAGCCGAUAUUCUUUUGAAUAUCCUGAGAGAAGAAAAGGCAUAUGUCCCAGAAUAGACUCGGGCUACAUGGGCUGCCAGCUUUUCUCGAACGGCACAACUCAGACUUCCACUGGAGGCUUUUAUGCUACCAGACCAGAGAGAAAACCCCACCUCUUCAUCUCCUGUGCUUGAUAU